AUUUCAUGAAAAGCACUUGUGUUAUAAUCGAUAUCUUUUAUUGAUAUUUAUAUUGCAUAUGAGAAAGCAGUUCCUAAUGAACAUAAUUAGAAGUUCUAAAUAUAUUUUAUUGUAAUUAUAAUAGAGGCUAAUGAUAUAAUAUUAAUUUAAAUUAAUCAAAUAAAGUGGAUUUAUACUUCAUGAACUUUGGAAAUAUAAAAUCUAGUGAGCAAUACCAAGUAAUG